UCGUUCAAAAAGUGGUUCCAACAACGUCAGUCCUCUGUGUUGUUAUCGUUGUGGACUUUAUUUUUAAUUUAUAACAACUUUUAAAACUAAAUCUUAUGGCUACUGUUAUUAUUAUCAUCCUUGGUAUAAAUGGGCCUUUACAGUCUUUACAAUGACACUGUAUAAAGGUCCUAGAUUAUAUACUUUUCACAGCACACAUCUUUCAAAACUGUUUUAUGGAGUUUGUCAACAGGUUUUUUUUGUUUUUUUUUUUCAUUUGAAAAGACAUUUUGUUAGUUGAACAAUUAAUAUGUUGUUAAACAAUCACUGAUCUAUAUAAAUAUAUAGAUAAUAUAUAGAUCAGUGGGUACAAUCCACUGAACGCACUGCUCUCAUUUUCAUUCCUGUCAAAACUACCCUGACUAACUUAGGGUUAUACAGUCACUAUUUUACCACUGGAAACAACGUUUAAAGAAUGCAUAAACACUAUUUAUAUGCAUAUAUAUAUUAUUUUUUUUUUUUCUCUGUAGAAGCCAGACUAAAAGAGAAGAUCCCAGGUUUACAUUCAAGUGAGAUAAAACGGAGAAAAAGUAUAGUAAAAUUAGAUAUAUGCUAAUUUAUUUAAAUAAAUUGAGCCUGCGUCAACAAUGCAGUUCCAAAACAACCAAUCAAAGAGAAAGAAUGUCACUGCAGGUGUCAAACGACCAAUCAAAUGAAAGACAUAAUAAAACCGCUUUAUGGAGCAAAUAGUAAAAAAAAAAAAAUUUCCCAGAUUCCCUCAAAGUUUUCAAGAAAUAAUUUCAACAUAAAACAGACAACAAAUGAAAUUAUAUUAUUUGUUCACGAAACGUUCCGUUUUUUCCCCAUUUGAGCGAUGUUGACAACACAGAGAUCACCGAUAAAUAACGCAUUAACGAAGAGCACACAAACUGUUCCUUUGGCUUAUUUAUAGAGUAUUUGGACUGUCAUACACAGAUCGGGAUUUCCCGUUAGAGAUUUCGACUCGUUCACUUGCCUGGAAUCUCCGUUCACGACCAUGAUCGCGAUCACUCAAGAUGGCGAGGCUUCUUGCACGUGGAGGACAGACGAAACACCGGAACGGAUUACGUUACUGCAGGAGUCAUCAGGAUGAUUCCCCUCAGAAGACGUUUAGUGUCUGAACUGCACAAAAGAUGUUUUGAAGAACGUCGGAUAACCCUGAACCCCUCUGACUUAUGUAUGGAGAAACACAGUUCGGAAUGGGCUGCUGGAUAUUGGAACAACUGUUAAUCAUCACAAAGUUAGAGAAGUCAGCCAGUUGAGUUGGACGUCAUGGUUCUUGUGGUACCAGAGGCUGUCCAGUGGCAUAAUUAAAUACAUACAGAAUAUGUGGGUGCGGUGUCGAUAUGCUGUCUAAUAGAGUACGACAGUGGAAAAACAAGAAAUGGACCAUGUUAACCUCACAUGCAAACGAAAACCGGCUGCAGUUUUGAAGGGGAAAUUAAUUUCAUGGACUGAUAAUGACUGGCCUCUGUCCACAAAGCAGCUGCUCCGGGACUCUAAUGAAAGAAUGUGUGUUGUAGUAAGUGAUUUUACUUGGAUUUACUUGAAUUCAACAGGUAAUGGCAUUCUGGAAUUUUUUUUUUUCCACCCUGGUCCAUAAAUCUGUAAGCUUGUAAGACCUUAAACUUAUUUAACUUUCAAACAAGACUGUCAAGACAACAUUUGGAGUUUGUUUUGACGAAUUUCCCUUUUCUUCUGGAAAUGACACUUGUUAUAUGAAUUUAAUUGAAUUUCAGUUCAAUUUUAUUAAAUUUUUUUUAUCUAAAUUUGAAUUUCAAGUUUCUGUUUGCUACCUCAUUUAAAUUCAAGAAUUGUAUUUUAUAUAUUG